UAGGGAAUCUUCGGCAAUGGACGAAAGUCUGACCGAGCAACGCCGCGUGAGUGAAGAAGGUUUUCGGAUCGUAAAACUCUGUUGUUAGAGAAGAACAAGGACGUUAGUAACUGAAUGUCUCCUGACGGUAUCUAACCAGAAAGCCACGGCUAACUACGUGACAGAAGCCGCGGUAAUACGUAGGUGGCAAGCGUAGUCCGGAUUUAUUGGGCGUAAAGCGAGCGCAGGCGGUUUCUUAAGUCUGAUGUGAAAGCCCCCGGCUCUACCGGGGAGGGUCAUUGGAAACUGGGAUACUUUAGUGCAGAAGAGGAGAGUGUUCUUCCCUGUGUAGCGGUGAAAUGCGUAGAUAUAUAGAGGAACACCAGUGGCGAAUGCGUCUCUCUGGUCUGUAACUGACGCUGAGUCUCGAAAGCGUGGGGAGCAAACAAG
rnacentral:rRNA from 1 species